UACGAAGGGGGCUAGCGUUGUUCGGAAUUACUGGGCGUAAAGCGCGCGCAGGCGGCUAUCCAAGUCAGUGGUGAAAGCCCGGAGCUCAACUCCGGAACUGCUAUUGAAACUGUUUAGCUUGAGUAUGAGAGAGGUGAGUGGAAUUCCCAGUGUAGAGGUGAAAUUCGUAGAUAUUGGGAAGAACACCGGUGGCGAAGGCGGCAUCCUGGACCAUUACUGACGCUGAGGAGCGAAAGCCAGGGGAGCAAACGGG
rnacentral:rRNA from 1 species